rnacentral:rRNA from 1 species
UGGGGAAUCUUGGACAAUGGGCGAAAGCCUGAUCCAGCCAUGCCGCGUGUGUGAAGAAGGUCUUCGGAUUGUAAAGCACUUUAAGUUGGGAGGAAGGGCAGUUACCUAAUACGUGAUUGUUUUGACGUUACCGACAGAAUAAGCACCGGCUAACUCUGUGCCAGCAGCCGCGGUAAUACAGAGGGUGCAAGCGUUAAUCGGAAUUACUGGGCGUAAAGCGCGCGUAGGUGGUUAGUUAAGUUGGAUGUGAAAUCCCCGGGCUCAACCUGGGAACUGCAUUCAAAACUGACUGACUAGAGUAUGGUAGAGGGUGGUGGAAUUUCCUGUGUAGCGGUGAAAUGCGUAGAUAUAGGAAGGAACACCAGUGGCGAAGGCGACCACCUGGACUGAUACUGACACUGAGGUGCGAAAGCGUGGGGAGCAAACAGGAUUAGAUACCCCUGUAGUCCCUGAGCGGGCUGGCAAGGCGCAU